CGACGCAGCGAUAGCACUCUGAAUGUACCAGUUCCCAAUGGAUCACUGAUGUUAAGCAACGUUGAGCAUGGUUAGUAUAAGGUAGGGUUACCAUCUUUGCAAUCUACUGAAGUUAAGCAACGUUGA
rfam:Asian citrus Psyllid, Diaphorina citri - Florida Strain, whole genome shotgun sequence.